AGAGUUUGAUCCUGGCUCAGGACGAACGCUGGCGGCGCACUUAAUGCAUGCAAGUCGAACGGUGAAACUCCUUCGGGGGUGGAACAGUGGCGAACGGCUGAGUAACGCGUAAGUAACCUACCCCCGAGUGGGGAAUAACUCCGGGAAACCGGAGCUAAUACCGCAUAAUCCGUUGUGUCGCAUGUCAUAACGGCAAAGGUCUCGGCCGCUUGGGGAUGGGCUUGCGUUCUAUCAGGUAGUUGGUGAGGUAAGAGCUCACCAAGCCAAUGACGGAUAGCUGGUCUGAGAGGACGACCAGCCAGAGGGGGACUGCGACACGGCCCCCACUCCUACGGGAGGCAGCAGCAGGGAAUCUUGCGCAAUGGGCGAAAGCCUGACGCAGCGACGCCGCGUGCGGGAAGAAGGCCUUCGGGUUGUAAACCGCUUUUCUGAGGGAAGAGAAAGGACGUACNUCAGA
rnacentral:rRNA from 1 species